AAAGAAAAUGAUAAAAAGGGUGGAUAUAAUCUCAUUCAUACUUGUAUUGGUUCAUGAACCAAUUAGCCUUAGGAUAUUGAGACUUCAUUGGCCAAUGAUAGGAAUGGGAUAGAAAGGGAUUGAAGAUGAAGAGGGAAGGGAAAUGCGAUAAACACAAAUUGGUCAUGGGAGGAAUUUUGUCAAAUUAAGACCAUUCAUUCAUUUUGGGAGAUGAAAUGCAUAUUUCGUCAAUCCCCUAAAUCCAAUGAUUUUAAUCCAACAAAAGUCAAAUCAAC
rnacentral:lncRNA from 1 species